UACGAAGGGGGCUAGCGUUGUUCGGAAUUACUGGGCGUAAAGCGCACGUAGGCGGAUUGUUAAGUCGGGGGUGAAAUCCCAGGGCUCAACCCUGGAACUGCCUCCGAUACUGGCAUUCUUGAGUCCGAGAGAGGUGAGUGGAAUUCCGAGUGUAGAGGUGAAAUUCGUAGAUAUUCGGAAGAACACCAGUGGCGAAGGCGGCUCACUGGCUCGGUACUGACGCUGAGGUGCGAAAGCGUGGGGAGCAAACAGG
rnacentral:rRNA from 2 species